rnacentral:tRNA from 1 species
UCCAGGAUCGUCUAACGGCAAGACUUCGGAAUCUGACUCCGACGAUUGAGGUUCGAAUCCUUGUCCUGGAUC